GGCUAAGAUCCUCCAUUAGGCUAACACCCAUUAGGGGUGCUCAAGUUCCCCUCCCUGAAAGACGAGAAGAGCUUGACCCAGUCAUACCAUUUCUGAGUAUCCUCUUUCUCCUCUUGCUUUCUCCUCUUGCCCAUGGCAGGCAUUUAAAUAUUUAAGAACCGAAGAAGUUAUUGGAGAAAAGUGGACAUUGAAUACUGCUGAGAGAUUAGAGUAGUUCUAAAGUCAGUCAGCAGAUGAGAAGGCUGUUUCAAUGAGCCCAUCCAUUUCCACAUGCAGUGCUGAUGGCCCUGUUAUUCCAAAGGCCGGUAACUGUAAUAUCACCCGCACUAGAAGAAACCUUCAAGUAAUGUGGCAAAAGUUGAAAAACAGGAAAUGCAGUCAGUUGGGAAAUUGACACCUUUCUGGAAGAGGAGGGAAUUACAGUAUGAAAAAGGAGCUAGAUUCUUUGAGGAAAUGUUUCUAGGGAAACAACGGCCAGUCAGUUGUCCUUGCUGUGCAGAGAAACCUGUCACCUGCUCAUAUACCUGCCCAGAUAAGAAGAUUAUCCAAGUGGACCCUGAAUCAGUCCAGAGUUCUCCAGAGAUGAUGGAAGCUGAGAAGUCCUAUGAUACGCUGUCUGCAAACUAGCCCAGGAAAGUUGAUGGUGUAGUUCAGUUUGAGUCUGAAGGCCUGAGAACCAGGAGAGCCGAUGGUAUAAAUCCCAGUCUAGAGAAGGUGAAAUGAGGUGUUCCUGCUCAAGCAGUGAGGCAGGAAAAAGGGAUAAGUUUCUCUUCCCUCUGUCUUUGGUUGUAUUCAGGCUGUCAAUGGAUUACAUGAUGCCCACUCUCCUUUGGGGAGGGCUAUCUACUCUACUGAAUCUGCUGUUUCAAAUGAUAAUCAUCCAGAAGCACCCCCACAAGCAUAUCCAGAAAUAAUGUUUAAUAUGGGUACCCCAUAGCCAGUCAAUUGACACAUAAAAUUAAUCAUCACUGGUCUGAGAAUGCAGUCACAUUCACUGUUAUAAGAGGGAGGUAGAAGGACAUUUGAUAUACACAAGAGGAGAAGGUGAUGUGGCCAUGGAGGCAGAAACUUCAGUGGUGAAGCCACAAGCCAAGAAAUGCUAACAGCCACCAAAAGCUGGAAGAGGCUGGGAAUGGAUUUUUCCUUAGAGCUUUCAUGGGGAACAUAAGCCUGCUGCCACCUUGAUCUCAGCCCAGUGAAAACUGAUUUUGGAAUUCUAGCCUCCAGAAUUGUGAGAGAAUGUAUUUCUGUUGUUUUAAGCCACCAAGUUAGUAAUAUUUUCUUUCUUUCUUUCUUCAUUUUUUAGUUUAUUUAUUU
rnacentral:lncRNA from 1 species